CCUACGGGUGGCAGCAGUGAGGAAUAUUGGUCAAUGGGGGAAACCCUGAAGCAGCAACGCCGCGUGGAGGAUGAAGGUUUUCGGUUUUUAAAACUCCUUUGUUAGGGAAGAUAAUGACGGUACGUAUCGAAUUAGCACCGGCCAAUUCCGGGCCAGCAGCCGCGGUAACACGGAGGCAGCAAGCGUUAUACGGAGUAACUGGGCGUAAAGGGGGCGGAGGCGGGUGAGCAAGUCAGAUGUGAAAUCGUAUGGCUUAAGCUACGAACUGCAUUUGAAACUGUUAUUCUAGAGUGUGGGAGAGGUAGGUGGAAUGCGUGGUGUAGCGGUGAAAUGCGUAGAGAUCAGGAGGAACACCGAUUGCGAAGGCAGCCUACUGGACCAUAACUGACGCUGAGGCACGAAAGCGUGGGGAGCAAACAGGAUUAGAUACCCGAGUAGUC
rnacentral:rRNA from 1 species